ACGAACGCUGGCGGCAUGCCUAACACAUGCAAGUCGAACGAGACCUUCGGGUCUAGUGGCGCACGGGUGCGUAACGCGUGGGAACCUGCCCUUAGGUUCGGAAUAACUCCCCGAAAGGGGUGCUAAUACCGGAUAAUGUCUUCGGACCAAAGAUUUAUCGCCUUUGGAUGGGCCCGCGUUGGAUUAGCUAGUUGGUAGGGUAAAAGCCUACCAAGGCGACGAUCCAUAGCUGGUCUGAGAGGAUGAUCAGCCACACUGGGACUGAGACACGGCCCAGACUCCUACGGGAGGCAGCAGUGGGGAAUAUUGGACAAUGGGCGAAAGCCUGAUCCAGCAAUGCCGCGUGAGUGAUGAAGGCCGUAGGGUUGUAAAGCUCUUUUACCCGGGAUGAUAAUGACGGUACCGGGAGAAUAAGCUCCGGCUAACUCCGUG
rnacentral:rRNA from 1 species